CCUGCUUUGACCCUACAUAUAAAAAUGCCAAUUAAAUUCCAGCAUCUCGCAGUCUCACCCAAAAACAAGGGGAGACGGCCAGAUCUCAAGAACAGCCACCAGCACCUACCGACUCAAUGCAGGAUCCAGGAUGAAAGAACGGCAAAAAAAAAAAAACCGGAGCAUGCAUCAGCAACACUCUUUACACUCAUGGGUGCAUUAAAUGGGAGUGCAGGGCCAACGAACAACAGUGCAUUGAUGGUGUGAAUCCGUGAGACUAUUUAGCAGGUCUGUAGGUGGCACUGUGGCGGCCAAGCUGAGAAGAUAAAGGGAUGGAUGAUAUGGUUCUCGGCUGGGUGAAAUGACCCAAGUACCCUCCAUGAAAUUGGUAUUUUCAGUUGUGCAAACUGUUUCAACUGUGGAUGACUAGUAGCAUCAAAUUUGGCAGGUUGAGACUUGAGAGUUGACCUAAACAGAAGAAGCUGAUAACCAUAAAGGUGUGUGCAGCAAAAGAAAACAAAAGUAAAAUAUAUAUGUAUGUAUAUAGGAUCUGGGCUAAUUUUUUUUUAUUGAAAGCAGGUGUAUGAGAUGGAUCUUGUAGCUAACUGCUAUCCUUAUGUGCCGUUUACGGUUACAAUAUUAAUUAGAUUUUGACGACCAUUAAACUUCCGGACCACAGUUUAAUUCUUGCUGUUAGGUGGGCGGUGAAAGGAACAUAACACAGACAUAUAUAGAGUUGACAUGAUUAUAUUGGACAGCGUAUCCUCUUUCUUCUUAAUGGAAAUGACACGUCGGCUCGGCGUGUUCGAGAAAAAUAUAUUUGACAGUGUAUCCUAUUAGCUGAAAGAGGCAGGCUAACUUUUCCUGAGCUGUUCUGUGCAAUGAUAAUGAAUGGUCAUUGAUACUGGUAUUAUUCAGUCUAAGACUCCAAUCAGCCAAAUCAUGAUAAGCAUUGAGGGUUGAAAGAGAUGCCUCAUC